GCAUGGCAUGGAUUAAGGGCACAACUCCAGCCUUCCAAGCUGGCGGUGCGGGUUCGAUUCCCGCUGCCCGCUCCA
rnacentral:tRNA from 1 species